rnacentral:lncRNA from 1 species
CAGGAGAGAGCCGUGGUUGCCUGAUACUAGGUCUUUCUUAACUAGGCCAAAAGAUGAGAAACCAUGCUCACGAGACAAGUAACCAAUUGAGUUCAGGCAUGUUGCUGGUAUAUGGAGGGGUGUAGGUCCAUCCACUGGAGCAUGUCCAGCCAGCCCUACUUCUGAAGAAAACUGAUUGCCCCUCCUCCAGAAGCAGGAGUUCAAUUCAGUGUUUAGCUGUGGUGUCUGUUUCUGCUUCCAUCAACUACUGGGCAAAGGCUCUAGGAUGGCAUAUAAGGUAAUCACCAAUCUUAUUUACGGGAAGAACAUUUAAGGUAGCCUCUCCA